rnacentral:ncRNA from 2 species
GCAAAGUAGAGCAAGUGCGUAAAGUGGCACGGGAUGGGAAGUCGCCCCUGCACGAAAGAACGACAGUUCUGCGGUACUUGUUCGCGUCCGUUG